CAUGGCUCAGGAUGAACGCUGGCGGCGUGCCUAAUACAUGCAAGUCGAACGAGUUCUCGUUGAUGAUCGGUGCUUGCACCGAGAUUCAACAUGGAACGAGUGGCGGACGGGUGAGUAACACGUGGGUAACCUGCCCUUAAGUGGGGGAUAACAUUUGGAAACAGAUGCUAAUACCGCAUAGAUCCAAGAACCGCAUGGUUCUUGGCUGAAAGAUGGCGUAAGCUAUCGCUUUUGGAUGGACCCGCGGCGUAUUAGCUAGUUGGUGAGGUAAUGGCUCACCAAGGCGAUGAUACGUAGCCGAACUGAGAGGUUGAUCGGCCACAUUGGGACUGAGACACGGCCCAAACUCCUACGGGAGGCAGCAGUAGGGAAUCUUCCACAAUGGACGCAAGUCUGAUGGAGCAACGCCGCGUGAGUGAAGAAGGCUUUCGGGUCGUAAAACUCUGUUGUUGGAGAAGAAUGGUCGGCAGAGUAACUGUUGUCGGCGUGACGGUAUCCAACCAGAAAGCCACGGCUAACUACGUGCCAGCAGCCGCGGUAAUACGUAGGUGGCAAGCGUUAUCCGGAUUUAUUGGGCGUAAAGCGAGCGCAGGCGGUUUUUUAAGUCUGAUGUGAAAGCCCUCGGCUUAACCGAGGAAGCGCAUCGGAAACUGGGAAACUUGAGUGCAGAAGAGGACAGUGGAACUCCAUGUGUAGCGGUGAAAUGCGUAGAUAUAUGGAAGAACACCAGUGGCGAAGGCGGCUGUCUGGUCUGUAACUGACGCUGAGGCUCGAAAGCAUGGGUAGCGAACAGGAUUAGAUACCCUGGUAGUCCAUGCCGUAAACGAUGAAUGCUAGGUGUUGGAGGGUUUCCGCCCUUCAGUGCCGCAGCUAACGCAUUAAGCAUUUCCGCCUGGGGAGUACGACCGCAAGGUUGAAACUCAAAGGAAUUGACGGGGGCCCGCACAAGCGGUGGAGCAUGUGGUUUAAUUCGAAGCAACGCGAAGAACCUUACCAGGUCUUGACAUCUUUUGAUCACCUGAGAGAUCAGGUUUCCCCUUCGGGGGCAAAAUGACAGGUGGUGCAUGGUUGUCGUCAGCUCGUGUCGUGAGAUGUUGGGUUAAGUCCCGCAACGAGCGCAACCCUUAUGACUAGUUGCCAGCAUUUAGUUGGGCACUCUAGUAAGACUGCCGGUGACAAACCGGAGGAAGGUGGGGAUGACGUCAAAUCAUCAUGCCCCUUAUGACCUGGGCUACACACGUGCUACAAUGGAUGGUACAACGAGUUGCGAGACCGCGAGGUCAAGCUAAUCUCUUAAAGCCAUUCUCAGUUCGGACUGUAGGCUGCAACUCGCCUACACGAAGUCGGAAUCGCUAGUAAUCGCGGAUCAGCACGCCGCGGUGAAUACGUUCCCGGGCCUUGUACACACCGCCCGUCACACCAUGAGAGUUUGUAACACCCGAAGCCGGUGGCGUAACCCUUUUAGGGAGCGAGCCGUCUAAGGUGGGACAAAUGAUUAGGGUGAAGUC
rnacentral:rRNA from 1 species